rnacentral:snoRNA from 1 species
AUGGCAUGGUGAGGACAAUCGGCACAAAACUUUUUGAAUCUUUGCCAAACUUGGUAAAAAUUCUCAUCUUUGCGUUGUUGAAAGUCAGCAAUCCUUUGUCUUCCUUU